rnacentral:tRNA from 1 species
GCAUACUUAGCUCAGUGGUUAGAGUGUCCACCUAGUUUGUGGGUUCAAAUCCUGCAGUGUGCA